GACGAACGCUGGCGGCGUGCCUAAUACAUGCAAGUCGACCUUAGUGGCGAACGGGUGAUUAACCCGUGGGUAACCUGCCCCUCAGAAGGGGGUACCCCUUUGACACAUAUGCUAAUAGCGUAUACUGCUGGAUGGACCCGCGGUGCAUUAGCUAGUUGGUGAGGUAAAGGCUCACCAAGGCGACGAUGCGUAGCGGGCCUGAGAGGGUGAUCGGCCACAUUGGGACUGAGACACGGCCCAAACUCCUACGGGAGGCAGCAGUAGGGAAUCUUCGGCAAUGGACGAAAGUCUGACCGAGCAAUGCCGCGUGAGUGAAGAAGGUUUUCGGAUUGUAAAGCUCUGUUGGUAGAGAAGCGGUAUCUAACCAGAAAGCCACGGCUAACUACGUGCCAGCAGCCGCGGUAAUAC
rnacentral:rRNA from 1 species